UAUUUAUAUAUUCAAUUUACUCACAAUAACAUUAUAAGUCGAAAGAUAUAAGAACGAUCGAGAAAAGAAAGGAAAAAGUCUAGAGGACGACGUGCCAUUCAGCACAUGUUUACAGACGAGUGUCGCCAUCUUCUAAAUAUUUAUAGCACACGACGAUGUGGUGUUUCGGAGAAGAAUUAAAAAAUGUCGAAGUCAUUACAUAAAAGAUUAUGAAGUUUUUGUUGAAUAUUGCUGAAUAAUGCUGUAACUUAAAAUUUUAUUUGUAAAAUACAAAAUAUGUGAAUUAAAACAUAACAUCGGGAUAUUCUAAUCCAUAAUUUUCAAGUAUUUAUAAAUUUAGAGUAUUAAAAUAAAAUGUCUUCAACAAGUAAAUUAGAUACAGUCUAUAGAAGAAUAUUACUAACAAAAUUUUUUACAAAAGGAUGGGGAAAAACAGAAAAUUUUAAAAGGUAAUUU